GACGAACGCUGGCGGCGUGCUUAACACAUGCAAGUCGAACGAAAAGGCCCGGCUUUUGUGCGGUGCUCGAGUGGCGAAGGGGGGAGUAACACGUGAGUAACCUGCACUUGACUUUGGGAGAACUUCAGGAAACUGGGGCUAAUACCGGAUAGGAGAUCCUGCUGCAGGGUGGGGGUUGGAAAGAUUCGGCGGUGGGGGAUGGAAUGGCGGCUUAUCGGCUUGUUGGUGGGGUAGUGGCUUACCAAGGCUUUGACGGGUAGCCGGCCUGAGAGGGUGACCGGCCACCAUGCGCCUGCGAUACGGCCCAGACUCGUACCGUAGGCAACAGUGGAGAAUCUUGCAGAAUGGGCCCACGCCUGAUGUGACAACGCCCCGUGCGGGAUGCCCGCCUUCGGGUUGUAAACCGAUUUCGCCUGAGACGAAGCCUGAUUGACGGUACUGGGUAAAGAAGCCCCGGCUAACUACGUG
rnacentral:rRNA from 1 species